GUGGAUGUCUAUGCUCCUGGUGAACCUCAGGCCCUAGUGGACACUCAGGUUCAGCUGUCCACCUAGGGCAGGGUGUUUUUCUGGGACCCAGAGUCUACCUGAAAUCUUGGUAUCAACCUAGGGCCUAUGUGUCCACUUGGAGUCUGAUGUGCACCUGAAGCCUGAGUUUUCACCUGGGAUCUGAUGAGCACCUGGGGCCCAGGUUUCCAUCUGAAACAUCAGGCUCUAGUUAUACAUCUGGGCCCCAGGUAUACACUAGGCACCAAAAGAACUCCAGCCCCUAUCUUAACAUGAGGUCCUAGGUGAAUGCCCAGGCCUCAUGUCUACAUAAGGCCUCAGGUAGACAUGACUCCAGGCGGGCAUCAGGCCUGAUAUUGGCUCUAUGUCUCCACCCAAAUCUCAUGUUGAAUUGUAAUCCCCACGGGUUGAAGAAUGGGCCUGGUGAAUGGUGAUUGAAUCAUGGGGGCAGACUUCCCACUUGGUGUUCUCGUGAUAGAGUUCUUACGAGACCUGGUUAUUUGAAAGUGUGUAGCACAUCCCCAUUCUGUCUCCCUCCUCCUCCCACAUGGUAAAAAGGGCUUGCUUCCUCUUGGCUUUACAUCAUGAUUGUAAGUGUCCUGAGCCCGCCCAGUCAUGCUCCCUAUUAAGCCUGAAGAACUGUGGGUCAGUUAAACCUCUUUUCCUCAUAAGUUGCCCAAUAUCAGGUAGUUUUUUAUAACUGUGAAAAUGGACUAAUACAAGGCCUUAGGAUAACAACCAUGCUUCAGGCCAUAGGUG
rnacentral:lncRNA from 10 species